GAUUACAUAAAUAUCUUACUUAAAUCCCAGGUUCUAUAGACCUUUACAUAACUUAAAUACCAAAUAGUAUUACAAAACAUAAUACUAAAAGUAUUUAUUACAUCAACUACUUAAGUUCAUAUAAGUACAAACGCUUAAUAAAUAUUUAUUCUGCAACUUUGCCUUUUCCCUUAUCUUUUCCGGACGUACCAACGUUCUCGGUUUUAACUGAAAACAUUAUAUUCAACGCAAGGGUGAGCAAAAGUUUGCUCAGCAAGAAAAUAAACAGUUGAAUAUAAUGGAAUAAAAAUAUUUAUAAGAAAGAGGAUAUAAAUCAAUAGAUACUGAACAAAACAGUUCUUUAAAAGUUUUGAGUCUGAAAAUCAGGCUUUAGCAUGUUGUAAGGUCAAAUGACCAGUGAACUUUGUACUAGAAUUGACAGUACUAACACUGCAAUCCAUGGAUACAAACAAUUAUUAAAACUGACCUAUAUCCUAGACUUGUACUUUAGGGGAUCAGCCUAAGUACCCUAUAUUGUGCACAACAUAACAGUCUAAUGACACAUUACACGUCCUUCGAAAUCAUAUGUCCGGUACAAUAUAUGUCCCAAUAAAAGGGUUGUUCGUUCACAACAUUAUACAAGAGUCUGCACCACAACAAAAUGGUUUGGAGAACAUUAAAUGAGAUUUUCAUGAAUGAAUAAUAUCAAUAUAUCUCAACAGUUGUCUAGUCGAAAUAAUGACAUUGACAUUCUUUCAAUAUCAUCAGAAUAACUGAAUUUGAAACAUUAAAGUACAAUAAGUUGAAUAACUUAAAAAAAUAGCUUUUGCAAUAUAAACUUAUUUAAGAGAGAAAGAUUUGAUAUACUUGCUUGUCGCGUCGACUAAUCUUUUUAAGAAAGUGUGUUACCACUUAGUAGCCUACAUAUAUUCAGCAUUGGCUUAAUUAGUUAUCUUUUAGCAUAUAGUCUAUAUUUAUUGAUACGCAUAACUCAACUAUAGAUAGUGAAGUCAUUUCAAAUAACUAACAUGUACGUAUACUUACUAUCAUCAAACCAUCAUAUAGAUAUCUUCUAUUUAAAAAUACAGUUAGUUACGCAUAGGUAUAUAACUCAUCACUACAUAUUUUCACAGUUUAGUAUUAUAUACAUAUAUAGCACUUUUCUUAUAAUUGGCUCACAUAAGCACCUUACACAUUUAUAAUUCAAAUAUAUGCUAAAACAUACUUGAUUCCACCCAAUCAUAACAUGUUAUAGAACUUAGAUCAUAACACACUUUUAUUAACUUAUUUAGAAAUUUUAGGACAUUUACUAGCUUUAAACUUCACUUUUACAACAUGACUCAAAAAUACAAAAUUAUGAUUUUUGAGGCAACUUUGAGGAUUUUUAGAAUUUUCUAUGAUAGUCUUUUGAACCUAUCAUUUGUGCAUUUUUAUACACCCCAUACCAAAGUAUUUUAUCCUUGGUUUAAGUCGUAGAAACUAAAAAGUUAAGCAAUUCAAAAACAAGCCUCAAAUGGGCUGUUUUCAACAGUCUUGAAGGCAACUGCAUUUUUCAUAAAUUUCAAGGCCACUUUGAUGAUUUUUACGAAUUUUUGUAUUAGGCUUUUGGACAAGAACUCUAAACAUACUUCUAGCCUAUAUACCAAAGUAUUUUUGUGUUGGUUUAGGUUCCCGAGUAAGCCUCUUAUGCUUCUUAAAAGUAAUGCCCAAACUAGGCCAUUAUUCACAGUUUUGAGUUUACUAGUUUUGGUCAAUUCUUGCCAAUUUCAUUUCUAGCCACUUUGGUUCUUUCCAACACUUGAAUUAUAUCUAUUUAGAACUAGUUCUAGCAUUCCUUUAGGUUUGCUAAGCAUAGAUUGAGUUUUGACCAUCUAAACCAAGCUUUUUCAAGCUUUUACAUACUAACUUCUCAAGUUAUUGUAUACAUUAGCAUUUCAACACUUGGAAUAGCCUAGCAUAACUCUAACUCACUUGUCUAAGGUGUCCAAACUAAGUUCUAGGCCAAAUGGAAAAAUCUCAAAUUUUUAUACUUGGACAAAUUUGCAAAAACUGCAGUUUUAGUGAUUUUCCAUGCUAUUUUGGUGAUUUGUUUAAACUUCUUGGUUAAACCAAGAGCUUAACCACUUGGCCCUACUUUUAGACCAUACUACAAGGUAUUUUAAUCAAGGUUUAGGUUUCUUGUUCUUUCCCAUUAAGCUUCCCAAAACAGGGCUCAAACUUGGCCAUUUUCUCACUUUUUUUACAAAACUGUUUUUGAACUUUUUCCAAAAUUUUCUAGUUUUGGCCACUAGGAUAGUCUAGGCAUGUGUAUUUAAGUUACUUAAGGAUACUUUUAGCAUCACCACACCUUAUUUAAUCAUCUAUCUCAUUUUGACCUAUCAAAGCUCACUUUAGGCUUGAAAAAGAGAUCUUAAAUUGGUUUUCUCGCUAGCUUUAGUCAUGACCAUGUUUGGGAAUCAUUACUAGCAUGUAUGAGCAAUUUUGUAUAAGCUCAUAACAGUCCCUUAAGGUCAGAAACUAAGGAUUGCCCAAAACAGUCCUCUUUUGGCUUUAAAAUGUGAUUUUUAACAAGUCUCAUGCUCAAAAUGGUUUAGGCUUGGUUCCUUUAGUUUGUGUAGCUUUCUUAUGUCCUAUUAUGACUAUUGAAACUUGUGUAUGGGGUCCAGGUAUGGUGGUUCACUAUUUUAGUGUUCAUUGUUCUUUAAAGCUUAUUUUCAUUGCUUUCCACACACCUUGUAGACCUUUACUAACUUAGGGAACCAUUUUUACAUGCUCCUCACUGUCUAACAAUAUCAGUUACACAAAUUGGCCAUAACAGUCCCUUAAGGUCAGAAACUAAGGAUUGCCCAAAACAGUCCUCUUUUGGCUUUAAAAUGUGAUUUUUAACAAGUCUCAUGCUCAAAAUGGUUUAGGCUUGGUUCCUUUAGUUUGUGUAGCUUUCUUAUGUCCUAUUAUGACUAUUGAAACUUGUGUAUGGGGUCCAGGUAUGGUGGUUCACUAUUUUAGUGUUCAUUGUUCUUUAAAGCUUAUUUUCAUUGCUUUCCACACACCUUGUAGACCUUUACUAACUUAGGGAACCAUUUUUACAUGCUCCUCACUGUCUAACAAUAUCAGUUACACAAAUUGGCCAUAACAGUCCCUUAUAAGCACAGUUUUGGCUACCAAAUCUCCAACAGUCCACAAUAGAACACAUAUGGUCUUUAAGCAUUCCUAUAAACGUGAAAACAGUCUUUAUCUAAGCAUUAUAAGCAUGAAUUAGCACCUUUUCACCAAAACAGUUCCAAACAUUCAAGUAUAUGCAUUAUUACAACAUGAACCUACUAUAUACUAUAUGUUCAUGGUUUAAUACAUCAAGAUGCAGGAUUUCUAGCUUUAGUUCAAAACAGCCCAUAAUAGGCUUUAUAAUUCCACAAGGACACAUGGUAUAGCAACAUGGUCAACAAGGAUAGUAUGAUUAUGCCACAUAUAAGCAUGUACUAACUGUUUACAUAGUAUUUAACAUGUAUAGCUUAUAUCGGGAUGGUUAAAAUCAGUCUAUACCUUAACGAUACAUCAUAAGCCCAUUCUAGUUAGCAUACAUGUUAUGAAACAGUGGCUAAGUCUGUUUGGAUUCAAUAGGCCUAAGUAUCCUGUUUUGGUUCUUUAAACGACUGCAAAAGCUACUUGUUAUACUACUUUAACCUUCCAUGUUUAGCCCAUUGCAUACCAUGUAUAUAUAUUAUCAUGAAGAUCACUUUAGAAGCAUGUAUAAUCAGUGACCUCAAUAGCAGUCCCAAUUACUAUGUUUUCCUCAUAUAUGGAGUUAUCAAUCAUGUCCUAUUUAAGCAUAACAUAUACUUGAGGUAUUCCUUUUUCUAUAUAAGCAAGUAGACAUGAUACUGGACUCUAUUUACAGUUAGCAUACAUUGAUACCAUAACAGUCCAUUUAGAGCACUUUAGGCAUGGUUUAGUUAUACUUUACCAUAACAGUCCUAGGUAUUCAAAGGCUCAAGUUGUAAGGAUUUUGACUUCAUACACAUGCUACAUAAUCAAUACACAUGGCUUAAAAACUCACAGACUAAAGACUUUGUUCAAAACAGUCUCCUCUUGUCUUUAAGUUCUAACACAUGAACUGGUAAUACAACAAGAUUUAAGCUAUGUCUUUUAACACAUAACAUGCUAUUAUGGACUGAUUUGCACAACCUCCUUCCUAAUCAUUACUAGGACUGCUCAAAUAGUUCAUUCUCUUAGUUUAUUAGCAAGGCAAUUGGUUGGUUAAUGACAUAUCAUGCCAGUUAAAACAGUGGCAGAGUUUGGCCAGUGCAAAACAGGUCCAAACUUAGUUUAUUUUGGUUUCAAGCUUGCUAAAAACUCCAAUUAGGUUUUAUUAUUAUUUGCCUCCAUGAUUUGGUUGUUUAGACACCUUGAAAUGCAAAUCACAUUAUGGUCAAGGGAAAUCAGUCCCUAACUAGCUUAUUAACACAGUUACUUUCAAUUAGUUUAUUUCGUAUAUUAAACUAUCAUAGCAUGCAAGUUACUCAACAUGCCUUAUUAUAUGAAGUAUAUAAGCCUACAUGUCUUUGCCUGAUUACUAGCAUGAUAAUAAAGCCUCUGUUCUUCUCUGCACAGUUACUACUUAGUUACCUCGAAGCAGUUCUGGUUUUAGCAUUUAAUCGAACAGUUGGUGGACAAUCUUCAAACUUACAUAUAGUGCAUACAUUUUAGCUAUUUUGUUCCAGCUAUGACAUCAACACAACAAAAGAACAACACAUCAAUAAUAAUCACAACAACAUAAAUGACCACACAUAACAGUCCCCAUAGCAGGUGACAAUCCUAUAGCAGUCCAACCAAUUCAUUUACAGUCCACUUUGUUAUCAACAAUGAAACAGAGAAUGAAUCGAAAUUGAAUGGGAAGAGGCUGAAUUGGUUUACCUUCUUGGACUCUUAGAGACUAAAUAAUUGGUUGAUCAAUCUUUCUCCCCUUCCUAGCCGUAGCUCCUCACUUUCUCUCUAUAUUCUAUUUACUUCAGUCUCUUGCUUGACUGAACUGCUCUACUCCUUAGAGAGUUGGUUAUAUGAAGAUUUCUUCCCCCUCCCAGUCAGUCCUAUUGCCACAAGUUGGCCUCUACACAGCCACCCUACCAAGCUGCAAACCAUCAUUCCUAGUCUAGUCUACUUGGCCCCAAUGGGACCUGUCAAACCACAGCUAUUUUAUCACUUCUUAUCCCCUGUAACUCUAUCUCUUCUUAUAACCAAUUACUUACUGAUGGCUAACUGAACUAACUUACUGACUUGGAACUAGUUU
rnacentral:lncRNA from 1 species